rnacentral:rRNA from 1 species
UACGGGGGGAGCAAGCGUUGUUCGGAUUUACUGGGCGUAAAGGGCGCGUAGGCGGUCAGCACAAGUCAGUUGUGAAAUCCCCGGGCUCAACCCGGGAACUGCGUCCGAUACUGGCAGGCUUGAAUUCGGGAGAGGGAUGUGGAAUUCCAGGUGUAGCGGUGAAAUGCGUAGAUAUCUGGAGGAACACCGGUGGCGAAGGCGGCAUCCUGGACCGAUAUUGACGCUGAUGCGCGAAAGCCAGGGGAGCAAACGGG